GCCAAAAUCAAGAGUCAGAUGCUCAAACAGACUGAGCCACUCAGCCCAAGUGGAAAACGACCCAGAUGUCCAUCACCAGCAUAGUGGUACAUUCAUAGAAUGGAAUGCUACUCAGCAGUAAAAAAAAAAAAAAAAAAAAAAAAAAAAAAAAAAAAUGGAACAAACUACUGAUCCGUGCAACAACAUGAAUGAGCCUCAAAAUACUGUGUGGAG